UACAGAGGGGGCAAGCGUUAUCCGGAAUUAUUGGGCGUAAAGGGCGCGUAGGCGGCUUGGCAAGUGGAUGGUGAAAUCCCUCGGCUUAACCGAGGAACUGCCGUCCAAACUGCUUCGCUUGAGACCGGGAGAGGUGAGUGGAAUUCCCAGUGUAGCGGUGAAAUGCGUAGAUAUUGGGAGGAACACCAGUGGCGAAGGCGGCUCACUGGACCGGUACUGACGCUGAUGCGCGAAAGCGUGGGGAGCAAACGGG
rnacentral:rRNA from 1 species